UGUCAGGUUCCUCAGGCGGUCUUGAAGUCUGAGGAGCGUUGCGUUGUCCAGUUCGAAGCGCGAUCCCGCAAAAAGCCACUUGCGGCCGUGGCGCCUGAAGACGGGAGACCCUCUCGGGCUCUCACCGGGAUGGCCCCCUACCCGGCCAGCUGCUCAAAGUACUAUGUCUGCCUGGUUUAACGGUCGUCGGCUCCGCCUGCAGGGAAGCGGGGUUCCUGUCCGUCCCCCGCAGCAAGGGAAGGGGCCCGGCUUUUGAGCGAAGGGUUCCGAGCGGCGUCGCGCGGCCUAAGGCGGGAAGGGCCUGUCGCCAGCGGCAGAGCUGCCUCCCCGCGGACGGCCCCUCCCCUCGGAGGAUUCCGGGCCGCUAUGGGCGGGGCUUCCGCGGAAUCGGAUCCGAGGCUGGAGGGCGGCAGCAGCGGCAGCAUGAGCCGGUUCAGGGUGUCCAAGUUCCGGCACGUCGAGGCCAAAGUGGCCCGCAAGGAGGCCUGGAUUGGAGACCUCCAAAGCAGCUGCCCUUCAGGGAACCCCCGCAUCAAGGCCAACUCCCUCUGGAUCGCAUUCAGCACAGACCUGGCAGGCGUGCUGGGUACUGUGCCCCUGGAGAGCCCAAAGGGGAUCAAGACAGUGGUCUCUCAUCUGCACUGCCAUUCAGAUGUGGUGACAGACUUUGACUUCUCCCCCUUUGACCAGCAGCUGCUGGCCACUGGAUCAGCGGACAAAGCUGUGAAAGUGUGGCGCCUCCUUGAGGCCAACCAGGACCUCUCCGCUUCCCCCCAUGUGAUGCUGGGGCCGCAUGGGAGCCAGGUGGAGGUGCUUCUUUUCCACCCCACAGCGGAUGGUGUUCUGGCCAGUGCGGCUGGGAAGGCAGUGAAGAUUUGGGAUGUGGAGCAGCAGCAGAUUCUUAUUGAGCUGGAGCCUCACCUGAACCAGGUGCAGAGUUUGGCCUGGAAGCCGGACGGAUCGCUCCUGGGCACUUCUUGCCGGGACAAAAGGCUGCACAUCUUUGACCCACGGGCCAAGCCAGUGGCCUGCCAGACUGUCCUGGCGCACACAGGCGGCAAGGAGGCCCGGCUGCUCUGGGUGAACGCAGAAGGCUUCUUCCUCUCCGUGGGCUCCAACCAGAUGAUGGAACGGGAAGUCUGCCUCUGGGACAGCCGCCGGUUGAGCAGCUCCCUGGCCUCUGUCACGCUGGACGCCUCUCCCAGGCCUCUGAUCCCACUCUUCGAUCCCAGCACCGGCCUUCUUCUCCUGGCAGGGAAGGGAGAGAAGGUGCUUUUCUGUUAUGAGGUGCAGCCUGCCCAGUUGGCCGUGACAGAAGUUCACCAGUGCUUUCUGGAGACGAGGACCCAAGGGGUAACCCAGCUGCCCAGGCUGGCCCUGGAUGUCACAGCCUGCGAAGUGAUGAAGGUUUUGCAGCUGAGCGACUCGGCUGUUGUGCCCAUCAGCUACCUGGUGCCCAGAAAGUCCACACAGGAGUUUCACAAAGACUUGUUUCCAGAUUGUCCUGGGAAUGUUCCGGCAGCAUCUGCUCAGGCCUGGUGGGCUGGGGACAGCACGCAGGUGGAGACGGUAAGCCUUGAUCCUGCCCACAGGCCCAGCCCCGGCUUCCUCUCUGCCUGCCUGCCUCACCUCGACCAAGACAGCCGGCACCCACCCUCCACCCACGUGGAGGCAGGGGAUCAGGCCAAGGAUCUGGAGAUCAGAGUGGACAGCAGCCUGUCGUCUCCUGGCAGUUGUCUGACAUCUCCCUCCAGUGCUGCCCCGUCUCUCUCUGCCACCAGCGGCUUUUCCUCCAGCCCAAGCCAGCGGUCCCUGCCGAAUAUUCUGGGCCCGAGUUCUGCCUUCAGGCACAUCGAGGGUGUCGUCUUACCUCGCAGCACCCACAUCACCAACCUGCGAGGCUUGAGCCUCACCACACCAGGGGAGUGUGACGGCUUUUGUGCCAACCGGCAUCACAUCGCCAUCCCACUGCUUGCCACGGGUGGACAGGUGGCCAUUUUGGAGCUCUCGCAGCCAGGGCGACUCCCUGACACCCCCAUGCCCACCAUCCAGAAUGGGGCACCUGUCUCGGAUCUCUGCUGGGAUCCCUUUGAUGAGCAACGCCUGGCCAUCGCUGGUGAAGACACCAAGAUUCGGCUGUGGCGGGUUGAGCCAACCGGGCUGCAGAAGCAGCUGCUGGAGCCAGAAGUGGUUUUGAGAGGCCACACAGAGAAGAUCUACUCCAUCAAGUUCCACCCUCUGGCCUCCGAUAUCCUGGCCUCCUCCUCCUAUGACAAGAGUGUCCGGAUCUGGGAUGUGCGCACGGGAAAGCAGGAGCUUGGACUUCACGGCCACAUUGACCAGAUCUUCAGCCUGGCCUGGAGCCCCGAUGGAUGCUGCCUGGCCACCGCCAGCAAGGAUGGCAAAGUGCGAGUUUAUGAGCCUCGGCAGGCUGCCCAGCCCCUGCAGGAUGGCCCAGGGCCUAAGGGGGGUCGAGGUGCCCGUGUUAUCUGGGUCUGUGGUGGCAAAUACCUGCUGGUCUCCGGCUUUGACAGCCGCAGCGAACGCCAGCUCUCCCUGCACCAGGCUGAGGCCCUGGCCGCUGGACCGCUGGCCACCAUCAGCCUGGACGUCUCUCCCUCCAUCCUCAUCCCUUUCUAUGACAUGGACACCAGUGUGGCCUUCUUCACAGGCAAAGGUGACACAAGGGUCUUUGUCUAUGAGGUGGCCCCAGAGGCCCCCUUCUUCCUGGAGUGCAACAGCUUCCUCUCCUGUGACCCCCACAAGGGUUUUCACUUCCUGCCCAAGACAGCAUGUGACGUGCAGGAGGUCGAGAUUGCCCGGGCACUGCGUCUCCGACAGACCUCCAUUGAGCCGGUGGCCUUUCGGGUCCCCAGAGUCAAGAAAGAAUUCUUCCAGGAUGACCUUUUCCCUGCCACACAGGUGUGGUGGGAACCUGCCCUGCCAGGCAUAGCCUGGUUGAAGGGCGCUAACAAGCAGCACCAAACUGUCAGCCUGCAGCCCAAGGACAUGGCCCCAGUGAGCCAAGCACCCAAGGAAGCCCCCAGCCGGAAAUAUCUGCCCUCCUCCGUCUACCUGGAAGAGAAGUCUGAUGAGCAGAAGAAAGAGGAGCUGCUCAGCGCCAUGGUGGCCAAGCUGGGGAACCGAGAUGACCCCCUCCCACAGGACUCCUUUGAGGGCGUGGAUGAAGAGGAGUGGGACUAACUGCAGCCACUGGAACAGACCGAUGCCGCCUCCUCAGAUCCUGGGAUGGAAGGGAGCAUCAGACUCAGGCUGCUCCCCUGGGCUCCUCCAGGCGGUUGGCUUCUCCCCUACUUGCUGCUUCUGCUCAGGGGCUGCCCUCCUGCAGGGAUGAGGACUCCGACCGCCUGUUUACAGUCACCUGGUGAAGCCACGCUUACUUCCUGAGGACAGCCACGGCUUCCCACCAACAAAGGGGCCCUUGGGGUCUGUCCUUGGCAGGAGCCUUUUCAUUCCAUCUCCAGUGUGCAAGGCCCCUUCUCGGCUUGCUGCUUUGAAGCUGUUCUGCCGCCCGGAAAGCGGUUCCAAGCCACUGGGCCGCCCGCUUCGGAGAGAGAGGCCCUUUCUUUGGGCAGCUCCCACCCCAGGCUCGCGAGCCGCUUGGAGGCAAGUUCCCUGCGGAUGCGGUCAAGGAACGCCCCCCCCCCCCCGGCGAGUUGGGCGCAGCUCAGGGCCCUGCAUCCUUGGGUCUCUCGGCGGGAAGGGUGGCUGGACGGAUGCUCCGCGCGCAGCUGGCCCGAAGCUUUCCGGGCUGCCUGCCGGGCAGAAGGGGCAGCGCGGGCCGCUUCGGAGCGAUCGCUACGCGCGAAGGCACUGCGUCCGGGAUCGGCGCAGAGCGACUCCCCCAUGCUCCGAGGCGCGCCUCUCGCGCAGUACCCGAGGCUACCGCUGGAGUCGCCCUCGCGUGCGCCGUCUGGCCGGGCGCUCCGCCCUUUCGGCGCUCCUCAAUGGCUGCUUCCGGGACGAAGGGCCGCUCCUUCCGGUCGCGCUCGCCUCGGGGCGUUCUGCGCUGAGCUCCGGCUGCGGACAU